UAAUAAGUAAUUGUAGUGUGCCAUACAUAA
rnacentral:piRNA from 1 species